ACCUGGACGUCAGUUACUUCCGCACACGCGCAAUGGGGCGGCAACCGGUAUUCCGUAAUCUUCCAACCUGUGCAGAGUGAAGUAAGAACGCGGGUUUCGCCCCGAGUCUCUAGGAGAGCUCUGUAACCUGAUGUUUUAGAGGCAUCGCUGGGAGCGUGGCGGUGAAAGGCAGGUAGAGAUCACUGUGUAGGAGUAUGUGCAUCAAGCUGCACCUUUCCUGGUUACAAGAACAUCAUUGGCCCUACCAGAGCCUGCAAAAGGUCUCUGUGUAAGAGCUGCAGAAAAUGAUCAACUUGCAGGGAUCAGUGACAUUCCCGGAUGUGGCUGUGGACUUCACCCCAGAGGAGUGGCAGCUGCUUGACUGUGAGCAGAGAACCUUGUAUUGGGAUGUGAUGUUGGAGAACUUUAGAAACCUCAUCUCAGUGGGCCCUGAGACUCAAGGAGACAGACCUGAAUUGUGAGGUAGUCGUUUGUCUCUAGCACUUGGUCUCCAGUUCUGUGUUGUUUCCCAUGAACAGGGGGCCCAGUUACCCAAACAAAAGCGAUCUUCAAGGCAGAGCAAGGACAAGAGCCAUGGAUGGGGGAGGGGGAGAACCCACGUUGGCGCCAUCCAGGUGAGUGAAAGAAAACCAGGCAGAUGGGAGUCUUUGGAAUUGAGAUUCCAGUCGGUCAGUGAGGGACAGGUCCCUCUGAAGCAGCUCUUUUUUUUAAGGAAGCCCUUCUUAAAAGCCACACAGCUUUGGAAGUGACUGGGUCCACUUGACAUAACAUCGUCAGAUCCCCAGAUGACACCUUCACUCACUCUGCUCGCAUAGCUACUCUUUCUCUUUGCUCAGCUUUUGUGUGGAGGGAGGGCCCUCUCCUCUCUGCCCUGGCUCCCUGCACUGCCUGUUCCAUGGAGGUCCUUGCUUUGUUCUCUUAAUUCCUAAAAUCUUCAUUCUUCUUUUUUUCCUCAACAUGAGCACAGAUCUUUUCCAUACAUCUGGUUCUCGUAAGGUAGUCAGAUUGUGUGGAUUUGAAGUCUUACUCCACCAAUCACUGUCUAACCUAAUUAUUUUGUAGCACAACUUUAUUUAUAAAAGAGGGAUAAUAUUAAUCCUUACUUCAGGUUUCUUUGAAAGAUCACAUGAGUUAAUACAUGUAAAACCCUUCAAAUAGUUGCCAUAUAGUACGUGUUCAGUAUGUUGGUUGUUUUUAUUUCAAAACUUUUAGUAACAUUAUGCUUUCUAAUUAUUUCCCCUUUUCAAAAAAAAACCUCUUCCUUUUCUUGUAGCAUAUACCCCACCUGUGUACCCCAUCUUGCUCAUCUUUAGUCUCACUGCUGACUUGGGGUAUCUACCUUAUAGUGCAUCUCUCUGCUUCACUUGGUAAUACUGAUAUUAUUUGGAAAUUCCCAACAUCAUGUGAGUUGGUUCCUCACAAAUCUGCCCUCACCUUCACUUACGGCUUCCCCACCGUUGCUUCCUGCCUCUGUGUCCACCUUCAGAACUCCUCUCACAGUAACUCCCUCAGAAACUGCAUCCCUCUGAAGAACUAAUGGGAUUUUCUUUGUGCUCUCUGUGGCAUCUGUGCGUCUCCAACUUCCCAUUCCCAUUCUCCAGCUGGGGACCUGGCCUUCAUCUCAGUUUUUUCAUAGUAACCACUAUUUAAUAUUCUUCAA